rnacentral:rRNA from 1 species
GACGAACGCUGGCGGCGUGCUUAACACAUGCAAGUCGAACGCUGAAGCUCAGCUUUUGUUGGGUGGAUGAGUGGCGAACGGGUGAGUAACACGUGAGUAACCUGCCCCCUUCUUUGGGAUAACGCCCGGAAACGGGUGCUAAUACUGGAUAUUCACUGGUCUUCGCAUGGGGGUUGGUGGAAAGGGUUUUUCUGGUGGGGGAUGGGCUCGCGGCCUAUCAGCUUGUUGGUGGGGUGAUGGCCUACCAAGGCUUUGACGGGUAGCCGGCCUGAGAGGGUGACCGGUCACAUUGGGACUGAGAUACGGCCCAGACGCCUACGGGAGGCAGCAGUGGGGAAUAUUGCACAAUGGGCGCAAGCCUGAUGCAGCGACGCCGCGUGAGGGAUGGAGGCCUUCGGGUUGUGAACCUCUUUCGCUCAUGGUCAAGCCGCAACAAUGGUUGUGGUGAGGGUAGUGGGUAAAGAAGCGCCGGCUAACUACGUG